rnacentral:rRNA from 1 species
CGACGUUGGGUCGCUAGCGUUGUCGUCAGCUCGUGUCGUGAGAUGUUGGGUUAAAGUCCCGCAACGAGCGCAACCCUUGUCAUUAGUUGCUACAUUCAGUUUGGGCACUCUAAUGAGACUGCCGGUGACAAGCCGGAGGAAGUGGGGAUGACGUCAAGUCCUCAUGGCCCUUAUAGGUGGGGCUACACACGUCAUACAAUGGCUGGUACAAAGGGUUGCCAACCCGCGAGGGGGAGCCAAUCCCAUAAAGCCAGUCGUAGUCCGGAUCGUAGUCUGCAACUCGACUACGUGAAGUCGGAAUCGCUAGUAAUCGUGGAUCAGAAUGUCACGGUGAAUACGUUCCCGGGUCUU